AUAUAAAUGUUAAAAGUUAUAUUAUUGGCCUGGGACCCACCACCACUUUUUGCCAUCACAAAUGACCAAGGGUCAUUACAGAAACCAUCAGUUCUUGCUCUCUGUUACGUCUCUCUCUGUCUCGCUGCUUUUCUUUUCUUUUUUUUUAUUCUACUCAAUUUAAGCUUGAUUAAUCUUCAAUACUUAGUAAUUUUAAGUGCCGUUUGCGGCAAAUUGAAGCCCACGACGAGGUCUUCAAAUCCAUACCAGUAAUUUCAACUUUUGGUCAUUCUAGGAAGUCCGAAAAUUGAGACCCAUUUUGAGAUGAAAAUUGAGGGUUUUGCAUAAAAGUGAGGAAACGGGAAAGAAGUGGCGGAUGACGUUCCACCACAGGCCUAAAUUGGAUUAGAAGAUUGUUUUGCUAUUUUUGUAUUUAAGUCCCAUAUUUUUUGUAAAAUAAUCUUAGUUUGUUAUAUUUGGUAUAGAGAUUUGUGAACUCUUAUUAUUGUAAUUGUAUUUAUGGGCUGUAAUUUUAUUAUAAGUGGUCUAAAUGUUGUAAGACAUGGACUUUAGAUCUUAACCAUGUAUUGUUGGGACUGUAAUCACGAUAUUUGGAUUAAAUGGUACGUGGAUGCUCCACCGUGAGAUGAACUAUGUUGAGGCCUGAUGAAUGGAUCAAAAGGGAUGCCGGAAUGUAUUAUUUGCAUUUUUAUGCAUUUAAGCAUGUUGUUAUAGAAUCCCUUUUAGCAGAAGUCAUACCGAUUUUUCUUUAUAAAUGGUAUCAGUUUAAGUGUAAUUACAGGUACAACAAAAGGUGUUUACUUUUCCCUUCCUUGAAGUCAAUGACGGAGCCCGGAUUUCAAGUGAGGGGGGCACACUGUCAAAAAAAAAAAAUACAGAGUACACACACACACAAUAUAUAUAUAUAUAUAUAUAUAUAUAUAUAUAUAUAUAUAUAUAUAUAUAACAAUUAUAAAAUUCAAAAAGACAAAGAAGAAGAAAAUUAUUAAAAUAUAAAAGGAAAGAAAAAUGAAAUAA